UGGGGAAUUUGGACAAUGGGCGAAAGCCUGAUCCAGCAAUGCCGCGUGUGUGAAGAAGGCCUUCGGGUUGUAAAGCACUUUUGUCCGGAAAGAAAUCCUUGGCUCUAAUACAGUCGGGGGAUGACGGUACCGGAAGAAUAAGCACCGGCUAACUACGUGCCAGCAGCCGCGGUAAUACGUAGGGUGCAAGCGUUAAUCGGAAUUACUGGGCGUAAAGCGUGCGCAGGCGGUUUGCUAAGACCGAUGUGAAAUCCCCGGGCUCAACCUGGGAACUGCAUUGGUGACUGGCAGGCUAGAGUAUGGCAGAGGGGGGUAGAAUUCCACGUGUAGCAGUGAAAUGCGUAGAGAUGUGGAGGAAUACCGAUGGCGAAGGCAGCCCCUGGGCAAUACUGACGCUCAUGCACGAAAGCGUGGGGAGCAAACAGGAUUAGAUACCCUGGUAGUCCACGCCCUAAACGAUGUCAACUAGUUGUUGGGGAUUCAUUCCUUAGUAACGUAGCUAACGCGUGAAGUUGACCGCCUGGGGAGUACGGUCGCAAGAUUAAAACUCAAAGGAAUUGACGGGGUCAUAGCUGUUUCCU
rnacentral:rRNA from 1 species